UUUUUUUUUUUUUAAAUUGAUAUUUAUUAAGUUUUCAAAGAAUAACAACAAAAAUUUCCAAAAAAUUUUGAAAAUACAAAAAACAAAAAUAGUACAUAAACAAAAAAGAAAAGAAAACCCAGCCGCAAAGAAAAAAAAGAAAAACAGAAAAACAAAAAUAUAAAGUCCUUUACAAUCUCUAUUGACUUCCUUUCUAGACUUCCUCCUCCUCCCCUCUCUUGUUUCUUAAUUUUUAAUUUUUACAGCAAAUCCUUUCUGUUUUUUCAUAACAAUCUGUCAUUACGUUUCCUUAUUCUAUUUUCCCUCUUGUCAUAUAAAAACUUUAAAACUCAUAGCUUAUAUUCAAUAUUUACCAAAUUCUUACAUCAUUACCUUUUACGAAUCAUUUACCAAUCCUUACUUAAGCCAUGUAAUUUCAUUCAACAUCCUUCAAACAUUUGUAAACAUUCCAAUAUU